GAAGUAAAUAUAAAUGGAUUUCUAACCCAUUCUUCUAUGAUUUAAAUCAUAUUACUUUU
rnacentral:tRNA from 1 species